UAUUAUUAUUUUUUUUGCAUUUAAAUUUUGUACAUUAUAAUCUAAUCUAGGACACAUCAAUGCAUGCAGGCCUGUUGCAGCGAUGGAAAACCAAACUUGCUGUAACUGUAGAUAAAUAAGAUGUUAUGAAGAUUUGAGGUGAUGCUGAGGAUGGUUGUUAGUUGGAGUGGAGUUAAAAUAUGAAAAUACACUGAAGAUUGAUCAACAUGAAA